GGGGGGGGGGGGGGGGGGGGGGGGGGGGGGGGGGGGGGGGGGGGGGGGGGGGGGGGGGGGGGGGGGGGGGCGGCGCCCUCCCGGUUCGGCUGGGAGCGAAGGGGAAGACCGGGCCAGCGACACCCGCCGGCCCCCCGGGAGCGCCGGCGAGCGCAGCCCGCCCCGCUACUUACGCGCUCCCCCGCCUCCCUCCGCCGGUGCCGCCGCUCCGCGGCCGCGCUGCCCCCGCUAUCACUCCUCGUCUUCACGGACAAGACAAUAUGGCGCCCGCUGCCACUCACCCGGAAGUGAAAGGCGUCACGGUGCUGACCCUCGCCGGGCACGCAUGGGCGCCUGCCGCCGCCAUCUUUGCUGAGGGCGGCCGGGCGGCGCCUCCCGUGUCCCUCGGCCCGGCCGGGAGCUGCCGCCAUCUUUACUGCGGGCAGCCCCGCCGGUGCGGAGCUGCCGCGGCGGGAGAGGGAGGCGGGGGGGGGGGGGGGGGGGGGGGGGGGGGGGGGGGGGGGGGGGGGGGGGGGGGGGGGGGGGGGGGGGGGGGGGGGGGGGGGGGGGGGAGUGCAGCGGCAUUCGCCUUCCCGCCUGCGCUAGUGCGAGGAGCCCGUGGGAGGCUCGUCAGCUCCGUGGCUCCACAGGUAUGGAAAAAAGAACACCUGCAGUAAACAGCUCUUCUUGUAUCGACACGGGAUGAUUCUGUCGGCAGGGAGCACUAUCUUGUGACUGUCCAGCAGAGAGCUGCUCAGGAGUCACAGCUUUUCUCAGGGGUCAGUAUUGCAGCCUGUAGGCAGAACCAGUGUGGUGCUGGGGACCGACCAGACUGCAGCUACAGUAGCUCUUCCUGCAAGAGCUUUGCAGGUUCACAGA
rnacentral:lncRNA from 12 species